AGUCGAACGGAUCCUUCGGGAUUAGUGGCAGACGGGUGAGUAACGCGUGNNNAGCUACCUUGUGGUAGGGGACAACAGUUGGAAACGACUGCUAAUACCCUAUGAGCCCUAUGGGGGAAAGAUUUAUCGCCAUGAGAUGUGCCCGCGUUAGAUUAGCUAGUUGGUAAGGUAAUGGCUUACCAAGGCGACGAUCUAUAGCUGGUCUGAGAGGAUGAUCAGCCACACUGGGACUGAGACACGGCCCAGACUCCUACGGGAGGCAGCAGUGGGGAAUAUUGGACAAUGGGGGCAACCCUGAUCCAGCCAUGCCGCGUGUGUGAUGACGGCCUUAGGGUUGUAAAGCACUUUCAGCAGUGAAGAUAAUGACAUUAACUGCAGAAGAAGCCCCGGCUAACUUCGUGCCAGCAGCCGCGGUAAUACGAAGGGGGCUAGCGUUGUUCGGAAUCANUGGG
rnacentral:rRNA from 1 species